GACGAAUGCUGGCUGCGUGCUUAACACAUGCAAGUCGAACGGUGAACAGGGGCUUGCCCCUGGGAUCAGUGGCGAACGGGUGAGUAACACGUGGGCAACCUGCCCCUCACUCUGGGAUAACUCCGGGAAACCGGGGCUAAUACCGGAUACGACCAGGCACGACAUCGGGUCUGGUGGAAAGAACUUCGGUGAGGGAUGGGCCCGCGGCCUAUCAGCUUGUUGGUGAGGUAAUGGCUCACCAAGGCGACGACGGGUAGCCGGCCUGAGAGGGCGACCGGCCACACUGGGACUGAGACACGGCCCAGACUCCUACGGAGGCAGCAGUGGGGAAUAUUGCGCAAUGGGCGAAAGCCUGACGCAGCGACGCAGCGUGAGGGACGAAGGCCUCGGGUUGGUAAACCUACUUUCUAGCGGGGACGAAGCGAAAGUAGACGGUA
rnacentral:rRNA from 1 species